rnacentral:tRNA from 1 species
GCCCUAAAGCCCUUUAACACA